GCACCAGACGCGCGAUCCGUGUUGCGUUUUACGUUGGCUGUCGACCAGACAAAUCCUCGGUUGAGCUAGUGAUCACAAAAGGGGCAGGUUGUCCAUACCCAUGAAAGCGACGGCGUUUUCCGCCCCCAUCAACUGCGCAGUAAGGGGAUGUACGGAGGAUUUCAAAAUAUUUUCCGGCGAUCAAGUUUAUCGUGCCGUGCCUUGCGUGGGUCUUUAACAGGACUGCGUGCAGAGAGCUUUGACAGCGGACAGCAGCUAGCCUCUCAAGUGUCAUGAAGAGAAAAUGAGGUGGUAGAGCUAGGGAGGACUAGUUUGAGUUUGGCGCAGGCCAGAAAGAGAGAGCUGUUGGAAGGAUUGGAUUGGGUGGUUCGUCCGCUCUACAACCAGGAUGGCGCUGGUGAUUUUGACUACUUAACGUUUUUGCACUGCGAAAAGGAGGAGUUGGUGUAGUUGACUAAUGAAAGCGGGCUGUUUUUCGCGGGUUGUCAAAUCCCUUCCAAACCGAAAUAGUCACCGUCGCGUGUAGGAAUAGUGCAAGGCUCCAACCCUUGAUAUCCGUUUAAUUCUCCGCGUCCUGUGGCUGGUGAAGGUCGGGCUGCAACCCUUUCAGCUGGUGAUGGAUGACAAACACCUUACUUACAUAGUCGCCUUGGGAAAGAAAGAUUCCGAGUCCAGUGGCGCUUUGAACGAGGAUGACUUUUCUGAUUCCUGGAAGAAUAUGUCUUUUUCAAUGCACAUUGUGUUUGAGCACUGCUAGGGUAUGUUUGCCUUACAACUUCAUGUCAAGGGACCGCUGUCAAUGAAAAGUACACCAACUAGCGGACCCCACUAUCCUUAUAAGGAAAAAAGGAUAACGUGUAAGGAUAGUGCGUGGCUGCAAGUAGAUCUGAGGUUCAGAAGAAUAAGACGCUGGAUAGGAGCAAGGCUGGCUAGUUAACGGGACAUACAACAGGAUGAGUUUUGGCAGCUUUGUGUGUUUACACAAACAAAGUCAUACUUCGAUGUGCUUGCAACUGCGUGGGAUUAUGAACAGCUGACACAGAGCUUGUGUUAUGUAUGUACAUGUACAUACAGUAAGUUCGUGUGCAUCCAAGUAUAUAUAUAUUCUGUGCAAUACUGCCAUCAAAACUAGGACAUACAUAGUAAAACAUGAUAGUGCAACCAUUAAAUUUUAAAUUUGUCUG
rnacentral:sRNA from 1 species